CGGAAGGGGAGCGGAUCGGAGAGGAAGACGGAAAGGCUUCCGAGGACGACGAGGGAUCCCGGGCCGGUGUCGGCACGGAGGACCUCAAGGAGGAGGAGAAUGUUCAAGAAACGGAAGAGAGCGCCCAAGUCUUUGACUCCACCUUAGCAACUCUUGUUGAGAAAUCAGACUCCACCCCCUCCAGCCUCAGGGAGUGAAUUUGGCCUCCGAGCUGCGACCCCAUCGUUAUCGAGAUCUGAAUAUGCUUCAAAUGGCCUUUUCCAUCCGUGACCGGCCUACUUUGUAUUUGCAGAAACAAGCAGAAGUGGGGGCGGGUGGGGGGGGGGGGGGUCUGCCGGUUGCCAUGUCAACUUCCCGUUUGGAUGGCUCGCGUCUUUGAGUCUUUGUCAAGCGCUUGUCGCUUUGUUAUUCCGCGCGCUGACUGAGCAUGUCGAUGGUCUCGCGCUCGUAGAGAACGCCGUGCAGCAAAAUUGGCUGGAGGCUAAUAAAGUUUGAACAGUCG